rnacentral:rRNA from 1 species
UACGGAGGGAGCUAGCGUUAUUCGGAAUUACUGGGCGUAAAGCGCACGUAGGCGGCUUUGUAAGUUAGAGGUGAAAGCCUGGAGCUCAACUCCAGAACUGCCUUUAAGACUGCAUCGCUUGAAUCCAGGAGAGGUGAGUGGAAUUCCGAGUGUAGAGGUGAAAUUCGUAGAUAUUCGGAAGAACACCAGUGGCGAAGGCGGCUCACUGGACUGGGUAUUGACGCUGAGGUGCGAAAGCGUGGGGAGCAAACAGGG